AAGCUCCAAGUCCACAGAUUUAGAAAGAAGAGCUGGAUCUUCAAGGCUUUCAGCAGUACAGGGAUGAGCGACAGUAAAGAGACACUUUUUGCCUUUCCUGAAUACCUUGCAUGGUGGAGAGAGGUUCUUGGCACUCUGGAUGAAGCAGGAAGACAGAAGCAGAAGGAGAAGGUGGACGCAGAGACUUUGGACUCGGCCUUAUUCUAUUAAGUGCCUGAUUUCACCUAUGAGGGAGGGAGUCUACACUAGGUGUAUCCCUAGUGGCGUGGUGACUUUGGAGCACACCUCAAGUCCAAGAGUGAGUGGGCCUGUCUGUGGGUCUGUGGCCUGACAAGGUUGCCAUGGUUCUCCUCGGUGAGAAGGGACUGUCGGCUUCUGAUCCUGACUGAGACCUGGUGCACAGUCCUCUUUCCAUCGGGAUGAGCACGGAACACCCCUCCAGCCCAGCACAAAGCUGGGAGCCUCCAGAGAGCCCGUGUGCCACACUCUCACUUCCAGUCGCCUGUGCAGCCGCCAGCAGGAUAUGGGUUCAGGACCUUUCCUGGCACAGAGGUCAGAAUGCAUAAUCUCCAGAGUACACAAGUAGGUUUAAGAGCACCACUUCCUUUCAGAGGCAGAGAAAGGAGCCCCGCCCCUUCAGUGCUCAGCAUCCAUUCAGCCAUUUCCCAGGGGAGGCAGCACCUCCCUCUCACAUUCAUACUCCGUACAGAGCAGCCAAUCACAUCCUCUCUGCGUCUGUGACCUACACUCCACAGAAUGGCUAUGAGUGAAUGCCUGUGACUUCCACACUACACUCAGGCCCACUGGGAGAGAGCAGGUCUUCCAUGCUUAAUCCUCCUUGUACAUAUAGCUUUUGUAAAUUGGCUUUCUGAACUAUCUUCUGGGAGUGAAAUGCACUUAGGAAAUGAAGAAUGAUGUUGGGGUUGCGUGCACAUGACAGUUUGUGUAUAAAUGUGAGAGUGGUUGGAAAUGUGCGUGCGGUGAGAAUGUGUGUGUAAUUCUGUGAAUGUGUGUAUGCAUGUAUGUGAGUGGUGGAAAAUGUGUGCUUGCAUGCAUGCGUAUGUGUGUGUGUGUGUAAUAAUAAUAAUAUUAAUUAUACUUGAUUAUUAUUAUUAUUAUUAUUAUUGAAUAAUACUUAAAUGACCCAAAGAAUUAGAAUAGUUAUGUUAAACGUCUUGAUAAAAGAGUUGAGACAUGUCAUAGUCCCACAUGCAGGUUGUUAUAAUAACUAACAAUAAUUAAUAACGAAUCUCUGUGGUUUAGGACUAUAUGUCAUUCUUGGGUACUGUACUGUGCUGCUAAUGUCCUGUGCUGACUACAGAAAAUGAUUGUACUGCACAUGAAACUGGGUUGCUAUGCGUUAUAAACAUGCAUGGCUCUGCUCUGUUUACACAGAUGCUGGCAUGUCAGUUAAGUGGGCCUAUCCUCACCCUUGGUUAACGGUGAGACUUCCUUUCUGAGGUAAUAGGUGAGGUACAUGGUAACACUGAAUCCGAAAAUCAUAAUUCCAUUAUGAAUCAUCUUUAUUCUUUCAUCCAAGACUGUUGGAAUGACAGGGAGGCCUAUGGAUCACUAGUGAAUCCACUUGCUUCCAUACUCUCAGUAAACUGUUUGUGUUUCAAGGAUGAAUGAGUCCUAAAAAGUGCUAUUCUGAUGUUUUACCUUCCUCAUUUAAGCAGAGAUAUUUAACAUAGAGUUGGGGCUAUUCAGUCUCAGUGUUACAGUACUUCUUCCUUAUUUUGUGUGAAGAAUUUAAGCCUGAACUGAUUUUUUACUAUUCAUAUAAACUGUACAUCUUUGGUGUUUGGAGGUAGCAUCAAAAGAAUAAAUGUUGUAUUGUGGAAAUAAAAUACUUGCUUAGUGUUGAAUUAAGGUUGUAUAUUUAACAUCAUCAAUGAAUGUUGUCUUGGAAUAAAAUGAAAAUUCUACAAAAUAAAUACAUGGCUACAAAACUA